GGGGGCGUCGGCAAGCGGUAAGCCACGUGGUUUUGGUCCAUGUAUACGGAGGUUCGAAUCCUUCCGCCCCUGCCA
rnacentral:tRNA from 1 species